GGAAGCUGAGGGAGCCGGCUCCGGCCUUGGCCAGCCCAGCAAGGCGCUCCCACAGUGCAACGGCGGGCUGAAGGGCUCCUCAAGUGCCGCCAAAGCGGGAGCCCAGGCAGAGGAGACGCCCAGAGCGAGCGAGGGCUGUGAGGACUGCCAGCACACUGUCACCGCUCAGUAACAUGGUCCCAGAUAAUAAUUAGGAAAACAAAUCAGGACCGAAACUCCAGAGAGUCUGAAAUUGGCUGACCAUGGAACACCUAACCCGAAAAUAUGCAUAUCCCUUUCAGAGGGCAAAAGUUGAAGAGGCACCUGCAGUCAUUUUAUACUGAUGCAUAACAUAUUGCCACAAACUUAGCAAGUUUUAAAACAUCACGUAUUAUCUUAAAGUCACUGUGGAUCAUAAGUACAGGCUCACUUUUACUGUAUCAUUGGCUCAAACUCACAAGGAUGAGAAAAUUAAG